rnacentral:rRNA from 1 species
GGUAAACCAUGACNUGUCUUCUACUCUUGAGAAUUGAACGGUUAUCCCUGGGGUUCCUGUCUCCUUUAAUUAAUCAGUGAAACUGAUCUUCUGGUACAAAAGCUGGAAUAACAAUACAAGACGAGAAGACCCUGUGGAGCUUUAAAUUAUAGACCAAAAUAAACCACCAUAAAUAUUUAUGCCAAACAAUUUUAAGUUGGGGCGACUUCGGAAAAAAACUAAACUUCCAAGCACAAAAGAUAAUAUCUUAAUUUAGGUUUACCAACCAAAACAAAAAUUGACCCAGUACCACUGAUCAACGAACCAAGUUACCCCAGGGAUAACAGCGCCAUCUUCUUCAAGAGUUCCUAUCGCCAAGAAGGUUUACGACCUCNAUGUUGGAUCAGGACACCCAAAUGGUGCAGCCGCUAUUAAAGGUUCGUUUGUUCAACGAUUAACAGUCCUACGUGA